rnacentral:rRNA from 1 species
AGAGUUUGAUCCUGGCUCAGAUUGAACGCUGGCGGCAUGCCUUACACAUGCAAGUCGAACGGCAGCACGGGGGCAACCCUGGUGGCGAGUGGCGAACGGGAGAGUAACAUAUCGGAACGUGCCCUGGAGUGGGGGAGAACUAGUCGAAAGAUUAGCUAAUACCGCAUACGAUCUACGGAUGAAAGUGGGGGAUCGCAAGACCUCAUGCUCGUGGAGCGGCCGAUAUCUGAUUAGCUAGUUGGUGGGGUAAAGGCCUACCAAGGCAUCGAUCAGUAGCUGGUCUGAGAGGACGACCAGCCACACUGGGACUGAGACACGGCCCAGACUCCUACGGGAGGCAGCAGUGGGGAAUUUUGGACAAUGGGCGCAAGCCUGAUCCAGCAAUGCCGCGUGAGUGAAGAAGGCCUUCGGGUUGUAAAGCUCUUUUGACAGGGAAGAAACGGUGAGGGCUAAUAUCCUUUACUAAUGACGGUACCUGAAGAAUAAGCACCGGCUAACUACGUGCCAGCAGCCGCGGUAAUACGUAGGGUGCAAGCGUUAAUCGGAAUUACUGGGCGUAAAGCGUGCGCAGGCGGUUGUGCAAGACCGAUGUGAAAUCCCCGGGCUUAACCUGGGAAUGGCAUUGGUGACUGCACGGCUAGAGUGUGUCAGAGGGGGGUAGAAUUCCACGUGUAGCAGUGAAAUGCGUAGAGAUGUGGAGGAAUACCGAUGGCGAAGGCAGCCCCCUGGGAUAACACUGACGCUCAUGCACGAAAGCGUGGGGAGCAAACAGGAUUAGAUACCCUGGUAGUCCACGCCCUAAACGAUGUCAACUAGUUGUCGGGUCUUAAUUGACUUGGUAACGCAGCUAACGCGUGAAGUUGACCGCCUGGGGAGUACGGUCGCAAGAUUAAAACUCAAAGGAAUUGACGGGGACCCGCACAAGCGGUGGAUGAUGUGGAUUAAUUCGAUGCAACGCGAAAAACCUUACCUACCCUUGGCAUGGCAGGAAUCCUUGAGAGAUCAGGGAGUGCUCGAAAGAGAACCUGCACACAGGUGCUGCAUGGCUGUCGUCAGCUCGUGUCGUGAGAUGUUGGGUUAAGUCCCGCAACGAGCGCAACCCUUGUCAUUAGUUGCUACGAAAGGGCACUCUAAUGAGACUGCCGGUGACAAACCGGAGGAAGGUGGGGAUGACGUCAAGUCCUCAUGGCCCUUAUGGGUAGGGCUUCACACGUCAUACAAUGGUACAUACAGAGGGCCGCCAACCCGCGAGGGGGAGCUAAUCCCAGAAAGUGUAUCGUAGUCCGGAUUGCAGUCUGCAACUCGACUGCAUGAAGUUGGAAUCGCUAGUAAUCGCGGAUCAGCAUGUCGCGGUGAAUACGUUCCCGGGUCUUGUACACACCGCCCGUCACACCAUGGGAGCGGGUUUUACCAGAAGUAGGUAGCUUAACCGCAAGGAGGGCGCUUACCACGGUAGGAUUCGUGACUGGGGUGAAGUCGUAACAAGGUAACC